GGGGAAUAUUGGACAAUGGGCGCAAGCCUGAUCCAGCCAUGCCGCGUGAGUGAUGAAGGCCCUAGGGUUGUAAAGCUCUUUCAGUGGGGAAGAUAAUGACGGUACCCACAGAAGAAGCCCCGGCUAACUUCGUGCCAGCAGCCGCGGUAAUACGAAGGGGGCUAGCGUUGUUCGGAAUUACUGGGCGUAAAGCGCACGUAGGCGGAUUUUUAAGUCAGGGGUGAAAUCCCGGGGCUCAACCCCGGAACAGCCUUUGAUACUGGAGAUCUGGAGUCCGAGAGAGGUGAGUGGAAUUCCGAGUGUAGAGGUGAAAUUCGUAGAUAUUCGGAGGAACACCAGUGGCGAAGGCGGCUCACUGGCUCGGUACUGACGCUGAGGUGCGAAAGCGUGGGGAGCAAAC
rnacentral:rRNA from 1 species